AAAUUUUGACCAUUAUUUGCUCAAAUAUUUUUUUCCAUCUCCCCCCUCUUUCCAUUUUUCUGAAACAGGAAGCGUCAUAUAGUCAUUUUGCACUGGGAUCUUCAAAUUACCUUCGUGGUCCUGCCAAGAGGAAAAAUUGUCUCUAGAGAUACUCGGCUGAGUUACAGAGGUUCUCCAAGGCUGAGUGACUGUGGUUUCCACUGUAAGAUCUGAUCUACAGAGAAGAGCAAUUAUGAAGCUCUUUAAGGAUGCUGGGGAUCCCCUCACAAAUUUAUUUCUCAAAGUAUCAGUGAAAGGUGUGUCUUCUGGACCCUCCCAGUGAGGAGAGGAACUGGAGACACAGUCACACGGGGAAGAAGCCCAUGUGACUAUGGAGCUAGAGAUUGGAGUGAUGCAUCUAUCAGCCCAUGGAUGUCAACGAUUGCCAAAAACAACCAGAAGCCAGGAAGGAAGUCAUGUUCCUCAGAAGGAACAUGACACUGCUGACAUCUUAAUUCUGGACUUCUAGCUUCCACGACUGUGAGAUAAUAAAUUUCUGUUGCUUUA